UACGAAGGGGGCUAGCGUUGUUCGGAAUCACUGGGCGUAAAGCGCACGUAGGCGGAUCUUUAAGUCAGGGGUGAAAUCCCGAGGCUCAACCUCGGAACUGCCUUUGAUACUGGAGAUCUCGAGUCCGGAAGAGGUAAGUGGAACUGCGAGUGUAGAGGUGAAAUUCGUAGAUAUUCGCAAGAACACCAGUGGCGAAGGCGGCUUACUGGUCCGGAACUGACGCUGAGGUGCGAAAGCGUGGGGAGCAAACAGG
rnacentral:rRNA from 1 species